UUGAUUAUGUAGAUUUUUUUUUUUCUCCCCUAUUGCAGUUUCAUAUGCAAAGCAUGCAUCAGCCACAUCCAUGCUAUCUCCUAAAGCAGUCAUUCUGAAACCCAAUCUGGGGACAGUGCAGACUAAAUAAAAUUUCAUUUUGAUUUGGCCUCCCGCUGAGAAUGGGACUGCUUUGUUUCAGCCGACAGAACCAGCAAGCCAGAAAGGUUUUGUUUCAAAAAUAGAGGAGCUGCUUCUGACCCAAUUGAUCAAAAAUGCUGUUCUUCAGGAAAGAGUGCAAAACGUCUUCUUUUCAAAGCAAAUGGAUUUGAGGACUGGGUCAUUGUGGUGGAGGAAGUAUUUUUAUCUGGGCCUCAGGAAACAGUGGUCUGGCUAGCAACUGCACUGGUACGGAUGAUUACAUGA
rnacentral:lncRNA from 1 species